GAUGAACGCUGGCGGCGUGCCUAAUACAUGCAAGUCGAGCGAACAGACGAGGAGCUUGCUCCUCUGACGUUAGCGGCGGACGGGUGAGUAACACGUGGAUAACCUACCUAUAAGACUGGGAUAACUUCGGGAAACCGGAGCUAAUACCGGAUAAUAUAUUGAACCGCAUGGUUCAAUAGUGAAAGACGGUUUUGCUGUCACUUAUAGAUGGAUCCGCGCCGCAUUAGCUAGUUGGUAAGGUAACGGCUUACCAAGGCAACGAUGCGUAGCCGACCUGAGAGGGUGAUAGGCCACACGGGAACUGAGACACGGUCAAGACUACUACGGGAGGCAGCAGUAGGGAAUCUGCCGCAAUGGGCGAAAGCAUGACGGAGCAACGCCGCGUGAGUGAUGAAGGUCUUCGGAUCGUAAAAAUCUGUUAUGAGGGAAGAACAAAUGUGUAAGUAACUAUGCACGUCUUGACGGUACCUAAUCAGAAAGCCACGGCUAACUACGUG
rnacentral:rRNA from 1 species